CAAACCCCAACUCCUCCUUUUUUUUCUUUUGGAUAGAAAUAACUGGGAUUGCUUAAAAAAUAUUUUAGUGUUUCUAGUGAACUGUGAGAAAAAGCCACUCUUCUUUUAGUCAUUGACAACUUAAUUGGCAAAACAAUAACCUGCUAUACAUUUUGUAUUGCGUACCUAGGAAAUUUUGUCUCCUGAGUUUUCAGUGCUUAUGAAAAUUCUGUGUUUGGGUCUGGCAGAGAGGCUAUUAAGGAUGAUUUGAUGUAUUUAUAGGAGAUGAACUUCUGUAGUAUUAAGUUUGUGUAAAUAGGACUGUUAGGUUUAUAUAAUAAUAAUUAUAUUGUGGUUUCUUGGUUGAUAAAAUUUAGGUUUUGUUGGGAUAGAACUAAAAUUCAGAAAGUGAAACUCACUUUUAACAUUGUUAGAUUUGUGAGAAAAAAGUUCUGAGUAUAAAAGAGAAUAAAUUCAGGAAUUGGGAAAUGUGUUGAUAGAGAUUGUUUUUCCUUAAUUGUCAAGAAAUAUAUUUAAUUAUCUUAACUGCAUAUAAAUUUUUUUCUAGUUUCUGUGACUAUGGAUCCCAUCUUCAUAUAUUAUUUUUUAUGUGAAUGAUAGAAGACAAUCCAGACCUUUAGAUACUUUGCAUUUCACCAUAUUAAUUAAUAGUUGUGACUAAUUACUAUACUUUGUUUUUCAGACAUUAUUUUUUCACUUAUUUAUUUUUUCUUUUUUUUAAGUUCAUAAUAGUUUACAUCAAUGUGAGAUUACAGUUGUACGUUAUUUCUUGACUGUCACUACCACAAAAGCACCAUCACACGUCUAGAGACUCAGAGAGAUAAGAUGAAGAAGUGAUUCAACUCUAAGCAGCAGAUGACAAAAAUGAAGAAGUCUUUAUGCUGAUCUGCUUUAAAAAAACAUGUUACCUAAUUUGUUUUAUUUGAUAAAAUAGAGUGCUGCCUACUGUCAUGUGGGGGAAAAAAGAAAAUUGACGUAUAACUAUGAGUUUAUUGCUAGAGUUUGCUUAACUGUAAAAAUAAACUCCUUGAUGUUUUUCUCCUUU